rnacentral:rRNA from 1 species
CCUACGGGAGGCAGCAGUGGGGAAUAUUGGGCAAUGGGCGAAAGCCUGACCCAGCGACGCCGCGUGAGGGACGAAGGCCUUCGGGUUGUAAACCUCUUUCAGCAGGGAAGAAGCGAAAGUGACGGUACCUGCAGAAGAAGCACCGGCUAACUACGUGCCAGCAGCCGCGGUAAUACGUAGGGUGCAAGCGUUGUCCGGAAUUAUUGGGCGUAAAGAGCUCGUAGGUGGUUUGCCACGUCGGAUGUGAAAACCUGAGGCUUAACCUCAGGCCUGCAUUCGAUACGGGCAGACUAGAGUGUGGUAGGGGAGACUGGAAUUCCUGGUGUAGCGGUGAAAUGCGCAGAUAUCAGGAGGAACACCGGUGGCGAAGGCGGGUCUCUGGGCCAUAACUGACACUGAGGAGCGAAAGCGUGGGGAGCAAACAGGAUUAGAUACCCUGGUAGUCCACGCCGUAAACGGUGGGCACUAGAUGUGGGGACCUUCCACGGUCUCUGCGUCGCAGCUAACGCAUUAAGUGCCCGCCUGGGGAGUACGGCCGCAAGGCUAAACUUAAAUGAAUUGACGGCUUGNGAGUUGCGAGCGCGACGAGGGAGAG